rnacentral:rRNA from 1 species
CCUACGGGUGGCAGCAGUGGGGGAUAUUGCACAAUGGGGGAAACCCUGAUGCAGCGACGCCGCGUGUGGGAAGACGGUCUUCUGGAUUGUAAACCACUGUCCCCAGGGACGAAACUGACGGUACCUGGGGAUGAAGCUCCGGCUAACUACGUGCCAGCAGCCGCGGUAAUACGUAGGGAGCAAGCGUUGUCCGGAAUUACUGGGUGUAAAGGGAGCGUAGGCGGGGAUGCAAGUUGGGUGUCAAAACUACCGGCUCAACCGAUAGUCGCACUCAAAACUGCAACUCUUGAGUGAAGUAGAGGCAGGCGGAAUUCCUAGUGUAGCGGUGAAAUGCGUAGAUAUUAGGAGGAACACCAGUGGCGAAGGCGGCCUGCUGGGCUUUUACUGACGCUGAGGCUCGAAAGUGUGGGGAGCAAACAGGAUUAGAUACCCCUGUAGUC